CAAAAGAAAGAAGAAAGAAGCAGCCUGGCUAGCUGUGUGCGGACUCUGGGUUUCGCCAAGAAGACGUAACGUGUUGCGCGUGUAGGUGCGCAAGCCAGAUGCGCGUGUAGGUGCGCAGGCCAGAUGCGCAAACGAACUGCGGAAUACAUGUGCUAUGUAAGCGACCACGACCAAGCCACCAAACCUGUCAUCGAAUUAUUACUAUGCGAAUAGCAUUUCAGUCGGUUGUGCUUUGUGCUUUUCCUACGAGGCCCCCACUGAGUGGCCUGCGUCAGGGACAAGGAAACCUGGGACAGCAGGUUGCGUCAUCGACCGAGAAGGAGAAGGGAAGAAUUGUGGAAAUAAUGUAGGAACUGUAAAAGCGCAGAGACAAUAGAAGUGUCCUUCGCGGUAAACCAUGUCGAUUGUAAUUGCAUGACAGAUCGACGCCAUUGAGAAGAAUCGGCGGACCUUGACAAUGCUGGACUCCUUGACGGUACAAUGUCAGUGAACCGGUCUAUAGAACAACGAACGAGUGACGUUGAAUUGCAUUGACCAUAUUUUAUUAUGAAAACCCAAUUAUAAGCUUCUUAAGUACGAAUAGUACCUACAAUUGCGAAGAAAUUCCGUUAAUAGCCAGGACAAUUUAAAACCGCUAUGCUCUCCGUCAAUGUUGCAUUGAAAAUACAAGCUUUAAACGCGCCAUAUUAAUGAACAGACAUCAGUAUUUGUAAAAUAAAUCAAGAUUAAUUGUUUAUCUCAUUAAAAACAUUCUAAAAAAAUCAAUCAACAUGGUUAUUAAUUAUUAAUAUGAUAAUUUAUGUGUAAUCUAUUCUGGCAUAUUCUCUUUAUAUUGAGAUCAAUUGAACUAUUUAAGUACAAUAUUCAUUAGAGAUGAUUUUCAAGAACUCUUAAUGAUGCCAUUAUUAAUAUUUAUUACUUAUCUUAAUAAUAUGUUAUCAUGAAAAAUAUGUUAUACUAUUUACCAGUAUAUAAAUUCAAUAAAAGAAGAUAAAACAAGGCUAAGUAAAUGUCAAGUUUUCUCCAUGGUCCAUCGUGUGGAGCUUCCCCAAAAAAUUUUCGUUUAUGGUUCUGGUGUAUAUUAGGGGGUAGAAAUACCGAUGCCAAGAAACUAGACAGGUAUGCAUACCUGAAAAAACUGUGUGAAAAUUGGAAUGAGAGAAGAUUUAAUUCCAUAAUUUACUACUCUUUCUAUUAUCCUUUAAGAUAUUGUUUACAAUUAUUGAUCCUCUGAAUUUUAUGCAGACCAAGGAAAAAUUCUCACAAAAAAUUUUCCAAUCGAAAUUCAAUCGAUUCCAUUUGAAGAGGGGAAGAGACAAGGAAGAAACGAUUUCCUUCCUCCAUCCUUUGUCCUAAAGUAAUGGAAAAGAAAGCGCAGGUGGGAUAGCAGGCCAGAUCUCUUUUCGCUCUGCUCGAGAUCUCGUAUUAGAGAGCAUCCAUCCAUCCAUCCAUCCAUCGGGUCCAUAGGAUUUUAUAGAAGCGUGGGAGAGAGGGACAGGUGGUUCGAGUUAUCCUUGUGUAUCCUGCGUUCUUCAGUAGCACCUUACCGUAUAUUCGAUAUUUCUGUUCCAUAUCCUACCUGAGCACACCUUGUGGGAAAGCUUCCUGAUGCUGAUUGAAACCAUGGAAAUUGUGAACGCGAUUGAUCUCGUAUCCGGCUAGAAUAGGCGCCAUAAAAUUUACAUAAAUUCGACAAAUGUUUUAUGAACGGUUGAAGAAAAAGCAUAUCGAAUUGGCAAUUAUCUCUUCAAAAAUGAUUUUACGAACGCUAAAAAGAAGUACCAACACUUACGUACCCCGUCGUUUCAUGAGCCAACUUAAUUUACGCUUCUCGCAUGAAAGUUUAAUUGCCUCUACUCUUUUCGCGAAACAGGGAAUUAUUCGAUCAAGCGGAGAAGCGUGAAGAGGAACCUGUGCCUUGCCAAUGUUUAAACUCGAGAUGAUUGUAGCUGUUUCUAAAAAUAAAUACGGCAUACACGUAUAUACGUUGGCGACCACUGAAUCCUGAAUGACGAAACUGAGUUCCGUUAUAAAUUCUUGGAAGAUACUGGCAUGUGACGUAAUUUUACUGAAUUAUCGUGCAACUUUUCGACGUGACUGCAGGAUAAGCAUUCUCCGCAUCAUUUUGUUGAAAAACCUGUCGUUAAAUCUUCUCUAACGAAAAAUAAAAUUGUUCAUAAAAUGAAGUUAUAUCAAGUGAGUAUUAGGUUAGGAUAAUUUAAAAGGAAGAGAAUGAAUCAUUUCUUUUUUGAGAUCAAAUUAUGUUAAUGAAGAAAAUUUAAAUGAUUUUGGUUAUAAUAUAUUG
rnacentral:lncRNA from 1 species